rnacentral:tRNA from 1 species
GCCGAGGUGGCGGAAUUGGUAGACGCACUGGUUUUAGGAACCAGCGGGAGUAAUCCCAUGGAGGUUCAAGUCCUCUCCUCGGCA